ACUCAAAUGAAUUGACGGGGGCCCGCACAAGCGGUGGAGCAUGUGGUUUAAUUCGACGCAACGCGAAGAACCUUACCUGGGUUUGAACUGCAGUGGACAGCCUCGGAAACGAGGUCUCCCUUCGGGGCCGCUGUAGAGGUGCUGCAUGGCUGUCGUCAGCUCGUGUCGUGAGAUGUUGGGUUAAGUCCCGUAACGAGCGCAACCCCUACCCUUAGUUGCCAGCGGGUCAAGCCGGGAACUCUAAGGGAACUGCCGGUGAUAAACCGGAGGAAGGUGGGGAUGACGUCAAGUCCUCAUGGCCUUUAUGUCCAGGGCCACACACGUGCUACAAUGGUCGGUACAAAGGGUUGCCAAACCGUGAGGUGGAGCUAAUCCCAAAAAGCCGAUCUCAGUUCGGAUUGGGGGCUGCAACUCGCCCCCAUGAAGGUGGAAUCGCUAGUAAUCGCGGAUCAGCACGCCGCGGUGAAUACGUUCCCGGGCCUUGUACACACCGCCCGU
rnacentral:rRNA from 1 species